GUUUGAUCCUGGCUCAGAACGAACGCUGGCGGCAUGCCUAACACAUGCAAGUCGAACGGCUCUUCGGAGCAGUGGCGCACGGGUGAGUAACGCGUGGGAACCUACCCCGAGGUACGGAAUAACGGCUGGAAACGGCCGCUAAUACCGUAUGUGUCCUAAGGGAGAAAGAUUUAUCGCCUUGGGAGGGGCCCGCGUCCGAUUAGCUAGUUGGUGAGGUAAUGGCUCACCAAGGCUGUGAUCGGUAGCUGGUCUGAGAGGAUGAUC
rnacentral:rRNA from 1 species